UCACCAGACUCCUACGGGAGGCAGCAGUGGGGAAUAUUGCACAAUGGGGGAAACCCUGAUGCAACGACGCCGCGUGAGUGAAGAAGUCUUUCGGUAUGUAAAGCUCUAUUAGCAGGGAAGAAAAUGACGGUACCUGACUAAGAAGCCCCGACUAACUACGUGCCAGCAGCCGCGGUAAUACGUAGGUGACAAGCGUUGUCCGGAUUUACUGGGUGUAAAGGGCGUGCAGCCGGGCUGACAAGUCAGAUGUGAAAUCCCGCGGCUCAACCGCGGAACUGCAUUUGAAACUGUCAGUCUUGAGUACCGGAGAGGUCAUCGGAAUUCCUUGUGUAGCGGUGAAAUGCGUAGAUAUAAGGAAGAACACCAGUGGCGAAGGCGGAUGACUGGACGGCAACUGACGGUGAGGCGCGAAAGCGUGGGGAGCAAACAGGAUUAGAUACCCCCGUAC
rnacentral:rRNA from 1 species